rnacentral:tRNA from 1 species
GCGAAGGUGGCGGAAUUGGUAGACGCGCUAGCUUCAGGUGUUAGUGUCCUUACGGACGUGGGGGUUCAAGUCCCCCCCCUGCA